UUCCGGUUGAUCCCGCCGGACCCACUGCUAGCGAGGUGGGACUAAGCCAUGCUAGUUGAGCGCACAGAACUAUGUUUGUGAGCGGCACACUGCUCAGUAACACGUAGCUAACCUACCCUUAGGACGUGGACAACCCCGAGAAAUUGGGGCUAAUCCGCGAUAGAUGUAUUGUCCUGGAAUGGUAUUACGUCUAAAGGUAUCCCAUACAUGUUUGGUAUAUGCCUAAGGAUGGGGCUGCGGCCGAUCAGGCUGUUGGUGAGGUAAUGGCUCACCAAACCUUUGACCGGUACGGGCCAUGAGAGUGGUAGCCCGGAGAUGGACACUGAGACAAGGGUCCAGGCCCUACGGGGCGCAGCAGGCGCGAAACCUCCUCAAUGCACUUACGUGCGAAGGGGCUACCUCGAGUGCCAUCUGAUGAAGGUGGCUUUUCCUAGGUCUAAAAAGCCUUGGGAAUAAGAGGGGGGCAAGACUGGUGUCAGCCGCCGCGGUAACACCAGCCCCUCGAGUGGUGGGGAUGAUUAUUGGGCCUAAAGCGUCCGUAGCCUGCCGUAUAAGUUUCCCGUUAAAUCCAGCGUCUUAAGCGUUGGACCGCGGGAAAUACUGUACGGCUAGAGAGUGGGAGAGGUCAGCGGUAUUCUGGGGGUAGGGGCGAAAUCCUUUGAUCCCCGGAGGACCACCAGUGGCGAAGGCUGCUGUCUAGAACACGUCUGACGGUCAGGGACGAAAGCUGGGGUAGCGAACCGGAUUAGAUACCCGGGUAGUCCCAGCCGUAAACGAUGCAUGCUAGGUGUUGGGUUGGCCACGAGCCACCCCAGUGCCGCAGGGAAGCCGUUAAGCAUGCCGCCUGGGAAGUACGAUCGCAAGGUUGAAACUUAAAGGAAUUGGCGGGGGAGCACCACCAGGCGUGAAGCCUGCGGUUUAAUUGGAUUCAACGCCGGA
rnacentral:rRNA from 1 species